rnacentral:rRNA from 1 species
UAAGGUGGUUAUUGCGGCGGGGCUCACCUCUUCCCAUUUCGAACAGAGAAGUUAAGCCCGCCAGCGUCGAUGGUGGAGAGUAGAUCGCCGCCUUUC